rnacentral:rRNA from 1 species
UCUCCGUUGGUGAACCAGCGGAGGGAUCAUUACCGAGUUUACAACUCCCAAACCCCUGUGAACAUACCUAAUGUUGCCUCGGCGGAUCAGCCCGCGCCCCGUAAAACGGGACGGCCCGCCAGAGGACCCAAACUCUAAUGUUUCUUAUUGUAACUUCUGAGUAAAACAAACAAAUAAAUCAAAACUUUCAACAACGGAUCUCUUGGUUCUGGCAUCGAUGAAAAACGCAGCAAAAUGCGAUAAGUAAUGUGAAUUGCAGAAUUCAGUGAAUCAUCGAAUCUUUGAACGCACAUUGCGCCCGCUGGUAUUCCGGCGGGCAUGCCUGUUCGAGCGUCAUUUCAACCCUCAAGCCCCCGGGUUUGGUGUUGGGGAUCGGCUCUGCCUUCUGGCGGUGCCGCCCCCGAAAUACAUUGGCGGUCUCGCUGCAGCCUCCAUUGCGUAGUAGCUAACACCUCGGAACUGGAACGCGGCGCGGCCAUGCCGUAAAACCCCAACUUCUGAAUGUUGCCUCGGCAGGUAGGAAUACCCGCUGAACUUAA